rnacentral:rRNA from 1 species
CCUACGGGUGGCAGCAGUGAGGAAUAUUGGUCAAUGGACGCAAGUCUGAACCAGCCAAGUAGCGUGAGGGAUGACGGUCCUACGGAUUGUAAACCUCUUUUGCCGGGGAGAAAGCGUGCGUUCGUGAACGCGCGUCGAGAGUACCCGGAGAAAAAGCAUCGGCUAACUCCGUGCCAGCAGCCGCGGUAAUACGGAGGAUGCGAGCGUUAUCCGGAUGUAUUGGGUUUAAAGGGUGCGUAGGCGGGUUGCCAAGUCAGCGGUAAAAAUGCGGUGCUCAACGCCGGCGAGCCGUUGAAACUGGCGUUCUGGAGUGGGAGAGAAGUAUGCGGAAGGCGUGGUGUAGCGGUGAAAUGCAUAGAUAUCACGAAGAACUCCGAUUGCGAAGGCAGCAUACCGGCGCCCUACUGACGCUGAGGCACGAAAGCGUGGGUAUCGAACAGGAUUAGAUACCCCUGUAGUC